UACAGGGGGUGCAAACGUUGCUCGGAAUUAUUGGGCGUAAAGCGCGCGUAGGCGGCCGCUUAAGUCGGAUGUGAAAGCCCCUGGCUCAACUGGGGAAGUGCACCCGAAACUGAGUGGCUUGAGUACUAAAGAGGGUCGCGGAAUUCCCGGUGUAGAGGUGAAAUGCGUAGAGAUGUGGAGGAACACCGAUGGCGAAGGCAGCCCCCUGGGCUAACACUGACGCUCAUGCACGAAAGCGUGGGGAGCAAACAGG
rnacentral:rRNA from 1 species